AUGGCCAGUGAGUUGGUUGCCCCUUCGGGAGGAAAGUCCGGACUCCGCAGGAUAAUGUGCCUUUUGAAAAAGAGGAUCCUAUAUUUAGGAAUGGAAAGUGCAACAGAAAACAGACCGCUUAAUUAUUUGUAAUUAAGUAAGGGUGAAAAGGUAGUGUAAGAGACUACCAUUAAUAUUGGUAACAAUAUUAAUUUGUAAACCCCACAUGGAGCAAGAUCAAGUAACCAAGUGUUAUCCGCAUGUUUAUGGUGGGUGGAUCGCAGGUGUUAUUCUAAUAGUGCUUUUAAAGCACAUUAUUAUUUUAGCCUAGAUGAAUAACCAACAUCGAUUUUUCGAUACAGAAUUCGGCUUAUGAUCUGGCCUAUAUU
rnacentral:RNase_P_RNA from 1 species